rnacentral:rRNA from 1 species
AGCGAACGCUGGCGGCAGGCCUAACACAUGCAAGUCGAACGAACCUUUCGGGGUUAGUGGCGGACGGGUGAGUAACACGUGGGAACGUGCCUUUAGGUUCGGAAUAACUCAGGGAAACUUGUGCUAAUACCGAAUGUGCCCUUCGGGGGAAAGAUUAAUCGCCUUUAGAGCGGCCCGCGUCUGAUUAGCUAGUUGGUUGAGGUAAUGGCUCACCAAGGCGACGAUCAGUAGCUGGUCUGAGAGGAUGAUCAGCCACAUUGGGACUGAGACACGGCCCAAACUCCUACGGGAGGCAGCAGUGGGGAAUCUUGCGCAAUGGGCGAAAGCCUGACGCAGCCAUGCCGCGUGAAUGAUGAAGGUCUUAGGAUUGUAAAAUUCUUUCACCGGGGACGAUAUUGACGGUACCCGGAGAAGAAGCCCCGGCUAACUUCGUG